rnacentral:rRNA from 1 species
UAAACUGGAGGAAGGUGGGGAUGACGUCAAGUCAUCAUGGCCCUUACGACCAGGGCUACACACGUGCUACAAUGGCGCAUACAAAGAGAAGCGACCUCGCGAGAGCAAGCGGACCUCAUAAAGUGCGUCGUAGUCCGGAUUGGAGUCUGCAACUCGACUCCAUGAAGUCGGAAUCGCUAGUAAUCGUGGAUCAGAAUGCCACGGUGAAUACGUUCCCGGGCCUUGUACACACCGCCCGUCACACCAUGGGAGUGGGUUGCAAAAGAAGUAGGUAGCUUAACCUUCGGGAGGGCGCUUACCACUUUGUGAUUCAUGACUGGGGUGAAGUCGUAACAAGGUAACCGUAGGGGAACCUGC